AUGCUCUCCGCACUUGACUCAAUUAGGCUUUGGCAGUUUUACGCUAGGUGUGGUGGUACCUUGCCUGUGCCGAGUGAUCAGACAGACUGUGAAGUCUACCGGUCGACCCCGCCCCCACCAGCAAUUCUAUCGCCCCCACCGCCAUCACCGCACCAGUCGCUCUCACCACCCUCACCACGCAUGACCACUGCUGCAAAGCCUCAUUCGGUGGCCUCCUCUCUUAGUGAGUCUUGGCAACGCAUCGCGGAUAAGGUGGGGAAUGCGCCCAGGGGGCUGUAUAUCGUGUUAGGCGUCAUCUUGGCCCUUUCUGCAGUCAUUGGGAUUGGAAUCUAUCUGCAGUUACGUAGUCGAGCGUCUACAUCACGUACGGGGUCCUCGGCAGCACCAGCACAGGCGGGGCCCAAAGGAUCACGACAAGGUGGAGAAGCGAUAAAAGAAACGAACCGAGAAGUUGAGAUGUCCCGUCGACAGCAAUUCGCAGCGGGCACUAAGGUGCACUCACGCCGUUCUUCCAUGACCGUACAGGCGGCCCCACUAUUUCCACCGGAAGUACCAGUACCGAGUGCCCCUCCGGCGCCCAUAGCUUUAAUGUGA
rnacentral:rRNA from 1 species